rnacentral:rRNA from 1 species
AUUGAACGCUGGCGGCAGGCCUAACACAUGCAAGUCGAACGAGUGGCGGACGGGUGAGUAAUGUCUGGGAAACUGCCCGAUGCAGGGGGAUAACUACUGGAAACGGUAGCUAAUACCGCAUACCAUCGGAUGUGCCCAGCUGGGAUUAGCUAGUAGGUUGGGUAAAGGCUCACCUAGGCGACGAUCCCUAGCUGGUCUGAGCGGAUGACCAGCAACACGGGAACUGAUACACGGUCCAGAUUCCUACGGGGGGCAGAAGUGGGGAAUAUUGCACAAUGGGCGCAAGCCUGAUGCAGCCAUGCCGCGUGUAUGAAGAAGGCCUUCGGGUUGUAAAGUACUUUCAGCGGGGAGGCGUUACCCGCAGAAGAAGCACCGGCUAACUCCGUGCCAGCAGCCGCGGUAAUUC